GACUCCGUAGUGAAAUUCAUGGUGAGUUGCAAGCUCAUUGAUGUACACUGAUUGUGUGCCGGGGUCU
rnacentral:tRNA from 1 species